rnacentral:rRNA from 1 species
AGUGAACGCUGGCGGUAGGCCUAACACAUGCAAGUCGAACGGCAGCACAGUAAGUGCUUGCUCUUACGGGUGGCGAGUGGCGGGCGGGUGAGGAAUACAUCCGAACCUACUUUUUCGGGGGGGAUAACGUAGGGAAAGUUACGCUAAUACCGCAUACGACCUACGGGUGAAAGCAGGGGAUCUUCGGACUUUGCGUGAUUGAAUGAGCCGAUGUCGGAUUAGCUAGUUGGUGGGGUAAAGGCCUACCAAGGCGACGAUCCGUAGCUGGCCUGAGAGGAUGAUCGGCCACACUGGAACUGAGACACGGUCCAGACUCCUACGGGAGGCAGCAGUAGGGAAUCUUGCGCAAUGGGCGAAAGCCUGAUCCAGCAAUGCCGCGUGAGUGAUGAAGGUCUUCGGAUUGUAAAGCUCUGUUAUUAGGGAAGAACAACUGUGUAAUUAACUAUGCACGUCUUGACGGUACCUAAAGAGAAAGCAACGGCUAACUACGUG